CAAAAAAUUCUCCAAUAUAUUGAAAAAUAUGCACAUAUAAGUGAGUGCACACAGUUCAAACCCAUGUUGUUCAUGUAAAAAUCCCCAUUGUGGUGUUGAGAGGACGCUCCAUCCAGCUGAAACUGCAUGAGGGAUUCUCCUAUGUGGGAGAGAUGAGCAGAAGGCAUUUGGGGAGCUGCAGAGAAUCUAGCUGCAAACUGAAGGUGUGCCUUAAAGGUAUAUUGUCGGAGGUCCUUAAAUGCCAAGCAAAGGAAUGUGCACCAGUUGAAAGGGUGGAAAUUCACUAUGUGUUUACGAGACCGAUGGGAGCACCAAAUGAUCUAUAAAAGAGGAAUUUUGAUCUCUGGACAUGCUUAAUUGCAGAGCUCUAAUACAAGAAAGCAUGACAGUGCCUGAAAGAGAGAUGAGUGUCUGCUUCACUGUUUCUGUCAACGCCUCUGAUGUUAGAAUAUGUACAACAGAUUGACACAGAAAGUUGGCAACAUCGCUUAUUAAGUGAGAAAAUUAAGCAAGAAAAUAAUUUUUAAAGCAUUGAUAAGGUAAGCUAGAGGUUCUCAAGGUGUGGCUUUGGGUCCAGCAGCGUCAGCAUCACCUGGAAAUUUGUUAAUAAUUCAAAAUCUUGAGCUCUGGAAGCGGGGCCCAGCGAUCUGUGUUUUAUUUAACAAGCCCUUCAUAUAAUGCUGAUGAAUGCUUACGUUUGAGAACCUCUGUGUGGUAGGCUGAAAAUGGCACCCCAAAAGGUAUUCACAACUUAAUCCCUGGAACCUCUAAAUAUUACCUUAUUUGGCAACAGAGUCUUUGCAAAUGUGAUGAAAGAUCUUGAGACAAGAGAUUAUCCUGGGUUUUCUGGACAGAUCCUGAAUGUCAUCAUACAUAUCCUUAUAAGAGAGAGACACAGAAGGAGAUUACACACAUAGAAGAGGACGAAGCACUGUGAUCACAGUGGCAAGUCUGGGUCGGUGCAGCCACAAGCCAAGGAAUUCUGGCAGCCACCAGAAGCCGGAAAAGGAAAUGAAUGGAUUCUUCCACAGCGCAUGUGGGAGCAGCGAAUCUGAUUUCAAAUUCUGGUCUCUAGAACUGUGAGCACAUAAAUUUAUUUUCUUUUAAGUCACCAAGUUUGUGGCAAUUUGUUAAAGAAGCCAAAGGAAACUAAGACACACUCAAAUAAGGAAUGAAGAACUAUAGGAUAAAGUACUUAAAAAUGUAUUA